rfam:Triticum aestivum genome assembly, contig: Triticum_aestivum_CS42_TGACv1_scaffold_578816_7BL
GUACUACUCCCUCCGUCCGGAAAUACUCGUCAUUAAACUAGAUAAAAGGGAAUGUAUCUAGAUGUAUUUUAGUUCUGAUACAUCUCUUGUUACCCAUUUUGAUGACAAGUAUUUUCGGACGGAGGGAGUACUUA